ACUGCUCAGUAACACGUGGACAACCUGCCCUUAGGACGGGGAUAAACCCGGGAAACUGGGUAUAAUACCCGAUAGGUCUCGAUUGCUGGAAUGCAUCGAGAUUUAAAGCUCCGGCGCCUAAGGAUGGGUCUGCGGCCUAUCAGGUAGUAGUGGGUGUAGCGUACCUACUAGCCUACGACGGGUACGGGUUGUGAGAGCAAGAGCCCGGAGAUGGAUUCUGAGACACCGAAUCCAGGCCCUACGGGGUGCAGCAGGCGCGAAAACUUUACAAUGCUGGCAACAGCGAUAAGGGAACCUCGAGUGCCAGGUUACAAAUCCGGCUGUCGAGAUGCCUAAAAAGCAUUUCAUAGCAAGGGCCGGGCAAGACCGGUGCCAGCCGCCGCGGUAACACCGGCGGCUCGAGUGGUAACCGUUAUUAUUGGGUCUAAAGGGUCUGUAGCCGGCCGGAUAAGUCUCUUGAGAAAUCUGGCAGCUUAACUGUCAGGCUUUCAGGAGAUACUGUCUGGCUCGAGGC
rnacentral:rRNA from 1 species